rnacentral:rRNA from 1 species
GACGAACGCUGGCGGCGCGCCUAACACAUGCAAGUCGAACGGAGCUUGCUUGUCAGAUCCUUUCGGGGUGACGACUUGUAAGCUUAGUGGCGAACGGGUGAGUAACACGUGAGUAACCUGCCCCAGAGUGGGGGACAACAGUUGGAAACGACUGCUAAUACCGCAUAAGCCCACGGAACCGCAUGGUUCUGGGGGAAAAGGAGCAAUCCGCUUUGAGAUGGCCUCGCGUCCGAUUAGCUAGUUGGUGAGGUAACGGCCCACCAAGGCAACGAUCGGUAGCCGGACUGAGAGGUUGAACGGCCACAUUGGGACUGAGACACGGCCCAG